rnacentral:rRNA from 1 species
CAAUAGCGUAUAUUAAGGUUGUUGCAGUUAAAAAGCUCGUAGUUGGAUUUGUGGCGUACGGUGGGUUCCGGGCACUUGUUGUCUGAGUAACUUGCUGUUGCCAUCCUUGGGUGGAACCUGUGUGGCAUUAGGUUGUCGUGCAGGGGAUGCCCAUCAUUUACUGUGAAAAAAUUAGAGUGUUCAAAGCAGGCUUAUGCCGUUGAAUAUAUUAGCAUGGAAUAAUGAGAUAGGACUUUUUUGCUAUUUUGUUGGUUUGCGCAAAGAGGUAAUGAUUAAUAGGGACAGUUGGGGGUAUUCGUAUUCCAUUGUCAGAGGUGAAAUUCUUGGAUUUUUGGAAGACGAACUACUGCGAAAGCAUUUACCAAGGAUGUUUUCAUUAA